rnacentral:rRNA from 1 species
AUACGUAGGGUGCAAGCGUUAAUCGGAAUUACUGGGCGUAAAGCGUGCGCAGGCGGUUUUGUAAGACAGUGGUGAAAUCCCCGGGCUCAACCUGGGAACUGCCAUUGUGACUGGAAGGCUGGAGUGCGGCAGAGGGGGAUGGAAUUCCGCGUGUAGCAGUGAAAUGCGUAGAUAUGCGGAGGAACACCGAUGGCGAAGGCAAUCCCCUGGGCCUGCACUGACGCUCAUGCACGAAAGCGUGGGGAGCAAACAGGAUUAGAUACCCUGGUAGUCCACGCCCUAAACGAUGUCAACUGGUUGUUGGGGAUUUAUUUUCUCAGUAACGAAGCUAACGCGUGAAGUUGACCGCCUGGGGAGUACGGCCGCAAGGUUAAAACUCAAAUGAAUUGACGGGG